CCCGUCGUCCCUUGUGCGCAUGCGCUCUGCAUCUCUCAUCACGGUGACGUCACGGAGCUUUAUUCUGUCAGGACUCAGGAUGUUGUUCGAUGCGCGCAGAUCAGCGUGAUUACAGAGACGAAAUCAAAGAAAUCGGAGAAAUCCCACAUCUGGGACAUCAACAUUGACCAUGGAACUGAAGAAAGCGCUUUCCGAGAGCGACGGGACGAUGAAGACGUACGGCGCCAUGCGCGAGACGAACCGGAGCAGAGACAAAGGCCAGAUGGACGUGUCGAUGGCUGAAAGCUCCAUGACUCCAGACGAGAUCGAGGCAGAAAUGGCUCGUAUUCAGCGCCUGCGGGAGGUUCUGGUGAGACGCGAGUCCGAACUCAGAUUCAUGAUGGACGAUGUUCAGCUCUGCAAAGACAUCAUGAGCCUGAAACAGGAGCUGAGGAAGAUCGUGACAGUGCCAGACGCAGAGAAGACGAAGCAGCAGCGCCGGAGAGAGGAGACGUUACUGGUGGAGAUCCAUCAGCUGGUGCAGAAGAGAGACUUCCUGGUGGAGGACGCAGAGGUCGAGCGGCGGAGGGAGCAGGAGGAGGAUAAAGAGAUGGCCGAGUUCCUCCGACAGAAGCUCAGCGGGAUACAGAGAGCUCCGAAACCACGAACAUCUGAAGCUCCCGCGAACAAGCCGUCCCUGAGCCGGAGCAGCGCGGCCCUCAUCAAAGACUGCUGCGGAGCCACUCAGUGCACAGUCAUGUGACCGCCCCCUCACGCUCAGUCAUAACCCUGUUAAGUCCAUUUGAUGAAUAUGUUAAUGCGUUUGGAUUUGUUCACUGGAGCAGUAAAAGACUGAGAUUCUGCAGCAUGUAAAACUCGCGCUUCGUUGCAGUCCGGAGGACCAGAAGAGCAGACGUGGGUGGAAACCAUAAAGGUCCGUUCACACCAAGAGCCAUAACUAUAAUCAUAACUAUAUGUUUUUGAACGGAAAUCAACACUUGCCAAGCGCCAAAUGAGAGUGAAAACCAGUGUCGGCGAGUAUGAAACUCAAUCCGUAACAUUUGUUACGAGUUCCAACAAUGCAACGUUGUGAACGUUAACGAUUCUCGGGACACUCGACGAGCCAGCGGCGCAUCGUCGUGAACGUUUAAGCUUCGACAGUUAAAAUAUUCAAGCGCAAAGGAACUCAAACCGUUACGCUGGACGUUUAGUGCGCGCAGAAAGCCGCGUCUCAGAAAGCGUGCGAAUACUGAAAUGAGCUCCGUUUCACGUCCCCUUGUGCUUGAACGGACAAAUACACACAAACGGUGUCAAAAUAUGUGAGUACGCUAGUUAGUAAACACAUGAGUAUGAGUAUCAGUGAAUGAGUAUCAGUAUACAGGUGACACUCGAAAAAUUAUAAUAUCGUGUAGGGAUGGGCAACGAUUAAUCGCAUCCAAAAU